GAAUUCUGGUUUGAGAACAGAGAGCUUUCCCCAGAGCUUAGCCAGAGGACCCAAAGCAGCUAUAUGAGAAAGGAAAGUCCCACCAGGAGGGGUGAUUGAGGGGCCGACGGGAACUUAACAAUGCUGGUGCCCGACCUGCCAGACUCCCAGACUCUCCAGGGAAGGGUCUGUUGGGGCCAGUAAAGCUUGGCUCCCCGAUCCCAGAAACCUUCCUAUCACUCGUCUUGACUCGAAAGUUCCAGGAUUGGAGGU
rnacentral:lncRNA from 1 species